UGCUAUAGCUCAGUCAGUUGAGCAUGAGACUCAUAAUCUCAUGGCAGUGGCCUCAAGUCCCACAUUGGGCAA